AUGGGACUCGGCGCCGUGGAGCAGGGGGCGGCGCUCAUCCGGCGCCCAUGGAAUGGGUGGGAGGCUCAGGCAUGGCGGGCUGCAGGUCCCGAGCCCUGACCCGCGGGAAGGCAGCUAAGGCCCGGUGAGAAAUCGAGCGCAGCGCCGGUGGGCUGGCACUGCUGGGGGACCGAGUACACCCUCCACAGCCGCUGGCCGAGGUGCUGAGCCCCUCAUUGCCCGGCUGCUCCGAGUGCGGGGCCCGCCAAGCCCACGCCCACCCGGAACUCCAGCUGACCCGGAACUCCAGCUGGCCCGCAAGCGCCGCGCGCAGCCCGGGUUCCCGCUCGCGCCUCUCCUUCCACACCUGCCUGCAAGCUGAGGGAGCCGGUUCCGGCCUUGGCCAGCCCAGAAAGGGGCUCCCACAGUGCAGCGGUGGGCUGAAGGUUCCUCAAGUGCCUCUAAAGUGGGAGCCCAGGCAGAGGAGAGCGAGCGAGGGCUGUGAGGCCUGCCAGCACGCUGUGACCUCUCAGAAGUACACACUUGGCUGGAAAGAGAAGACUCUAUAGAGGAGGAACUUACAGCCAGGACCCUGGUUGAAUCAGUACUUAAAAAUGCUCUUAUGAGAAAGGGCAGAGCUGCAUUUUACUUAACCUAAACUCAUUUUUCACAAAGCCCCAAGACCUGGAUGACCAGGAAGCCAGCAACUCGACCAGAAUGGCAGGCUGUGGAAAGAAGUCAUUUGGUGAGCUUCAGACUGAAGUAAAAGAGCCAGAAGAUUAUAGGACUCCCCUUCCUCCAGGACCUGAAGAUGGAAUCCCCAGAGUCUUAAGAGGAGCCACCAGAAAAAGGUAAAA
rnacentral:lncRNA from 1 species